CUAAUAUCUCUUUCUUGUCAAAGUCAGAAGGACAUGAAUGUUGCUGAGUGCGUGCAUCUCAGUAUCGUGAGGACCAGAUGCCCUGAAUUGUCUAGAGUGAGCAGAAAACCUCCACUGGAUGGAGAGGACACUGAGAGCCUUCUGCCACGGUCCUGGACUCAGAUGCAAGUCAUUUGUUUUUUCUUCAGAAAUGGAAAACUCAACUUCCUCUUAUGAACUCAGCU